GAUGAACGCUGGCGGCGUGCCUAAUACAUGCAAGUCGAGCGAACAGACGAGGAGCUUGCUCCUUUGACGUUAGCGGCGGACGGGUGAGUAACACGUAGGUAACCUACCUAUAAGACUGGGAUAACUUCGGGAAACCGGAGCUAAUACCGUAUAAUAUUUCGAACCGCAUGGUUCGAUAGUGAAAGAUGGCUUUGCUAUCACUUAUAGAUGGACCUGCGCCGUAUUAGCUAGUUGGUAAGGUAACGGCUUACUAAGGCAACGAUACGUAGCCGACCUGAGAGGGUGAUCGGCCACACUGGAACUGAGACACGGUCCAGACUCCUACGGGAGGCAGCAGGAGGGAAUCUUACGCAAUGAGCGAAAGCAUGACGGAGCAACGCCGCGUGAGUGAUGAAGGUCUUCGGAUCGUAAAACUCUGUUAUUAGGGAAGAACAAACGUGUAAGUAACUGUGCACGUCUUGACGGUACCUAAUCAGAAAGCCACGGCUAACUACGUG
rnacentral:rRNA from 1 species